CACUGCAAGUGCACAGUGAGUAUCUGUUCGGGGAAUGACUGAUGAAAGCUACUCUUUCAGGAUGGCUUCCUCUCUGCCCAGAUCAGCGAUGCUGAUCUAGUUUUAUUUAACAUCUCAACACAACUGCGGCAUAGACACCCUCUUCAGGCUCAGAGAGGCGAACCGGCUCACCCGCGGCCACACCAGCUGGAAUCCGCAAUUGGACCCAUCGAGUGCCAGGGCCCGAGUGCUCAGCCACCAUUCAAGAACGGAUUUGGCCGUGGAUUUGUUUUGAGAAGAACUAAUCACACCCCAGCCCAGGGCGUACUGGGGAAAAGGGACCUGGAUCUGAAAAGAGAUACGAAAACCAAAGCUUAGAAAUAUGUGUUUCUGGAAGUGAAAUCACUUGAGCGAUUAAAGAGGAACCUAAGCAUCGAAAGUGAAUGCCACCUGAAAUGAAAUGGUUACUGUUUACAGAGGAGCACUGUGUGCAGGGCUUCCGCUGAGAGUCUCACGCACCUGGCCUUGUGCAACCUUCCCAGUGCCCCGAGCAGCACGCGCUGUCACCGUUGUACGGUCGAGGAACACAGGACUCGGGGAGGUUACGUAGUUUUUGAAAGGUCGCUAAGUUACUGUGCGGCGUGUCUGUCUCAUCCCAAAGCCUGGGCCACCUCCUCUUUAACCUGCUGCCUCUAACACCUCGUUCUCUGAGAUGUAAAGUUGGAGGCUCCCACCUUGUACUGCGCACUUGACCAGGGAGCAGUCAGAGCUGGGCUUGUCUCCUUAUUCCCUGCGUGCUGCCUAGUGAGCCCGUGUGGGAUUCCUCAAACCUUCAGACUCCUGGAUCCCUUGGCCACUCCUGAAUCAGAAGAACUGUGGCCCAGGAAACUGCAUUUAUGACGCAUUUCCCAGGGGAUUCUGAUGUUCCUCAAAGCUCUGAAAGCUGCAGCUAUAAGAAGCUGCUGCUCCCAAGAGCACAGAGGCCUCAGCUAAGUAAGUUGGAACUGCCAUGCUGCUUCCUUCACAUCCUUCUCCCAAGAGAAGCCCGGCUAUCCCUUUUGAAGCCCAAAUCUGAUUGGGCUCUCUCCUGCUCAGAUACCUUCAGCGGCUCCCCACUGCCCCGCUUCUUUCUGGACGUCAGCCACAACAGCCAGCCGCCCUCUGGCCCACCUCCCUGCCUUCGUGUGUACACUCCUGGACCCCCGCACUUUGUGGGCAGGCACCCCAUGCAGAGAAACUUUUCUGCACACCCCCAAGGCCUGUAUACUUCUUCAUUUAAAAAUCACUAGCCCUGGCUUGUCUAGCUCAGUGGAUUGAGCACAGGCUUACAAAUCAGAGGGUCACUGAUUCGAUUCCCAGUCUAGGGCACAUGCCUGGGUUGUGAGCCAGGUCCCCGGUGUGGGGGCACGUGAGAGGCAACCACAGACUGAUGUUUCUAUCCCUCUCUUUCUCCUUCCCUUCCCCUCUCUCUAAAAAUAAAUAAAAUCUUUUUUUAAAAAAACUCAACUUUAAAAAAGUACAUAAAAUAAAAUAAAAAUCACUAGUGUGCUACU